CAGUAGACACUUGCGAAAUAUGC
rnacentral:miRNA from 1 species